GUAGCCAAAUGCCUCGUCAUCUA
rnacentral:ncRNA from 4 species